rnacentral:rRNA from 1 species
AUUGAACGCUGGCGGCAUGCCUUACACAUGCAAGUCGAACGGCAGCACGGGAGCAAUCCUGGUGGCGAGUGGCGAACGGGUGAGUAAUACAUCGGAACGUGCCCAAUCGUGGGGGAUAACGCAGCGAAAGCUGUGCUAAUACCGCAUACGAUCUACGGAUGAAAGCAGGGGAUCGCAAGACCUUGCGCGAAUGGAGCGGCCGAUGGCAGAUUAGGUAGUUGGUGAGGUAAAGGCUCACCAAGCCGUCGAUCUGUAGCUGGUCUGAGAGGACGACCAGCCACACUGGGACUGAGACACGGCCCAGACUCCUACGGGAGGCAGCAGUGGGGAAUUUUGGACAAUGGGCGAAAGCCUGAUCCAGCCAUGCCGCGUGCAGGAUGAAGGCCUUCGGGUUGUAAACUGCUUUUGUACGGAACGAAACGGCCUUUUCUAAUAAAGAGGGCUAAUGACGGUACCGUAAGAAUAAGCACCGGCUAACUACGUGCCAGCAGCCGCGGUAAUACGUAGGGUGCAAGCGUUAAUCGGAAUUACUGGGUGUAAAGCGUGCGCAGGCGGUUAUGUAAGACAGUUGUGAAAUCCCCGGGCUCAACCUGGGAACUGCAUCUGUGACUGCAUAGCUAGAGUACGGUAGAGGGGGAUGGAAUUCCGCGUGUAGCAGUGAAAUGCGUAGAUAUGCGGAGGAACACCGAUGGCGAAGGCAAUCCCCUGGACCUGUACUGACGCUCAUGCACGAAAGCGUGGGGAGCAAACAGG